UUACCAUUUUUACUCUGCCGGAUAGUUAUUCUUUUGGUAAUAGAAACACUAACCUUUUUUCUCCCUAGGGAUUUAUUAGUAAGCACGUGUAAUCUUUGGCAAAAGGAAACCUGAAAAUGCCUUUCCCCGAGGACCGGGUGCCGGUCGAUGCCUUCCAAGCCUGCGGUGACCUCGGAGACGCGGCAAAGGAUUCCAGGACACUUUUACGACCGUCAUAAUUGUGAGUUAGAGAUCUCCCAGGCCAAGUGAAAUGAAAUUACGAGAAACUGAAAUCUGUUUUAAUUGGAGCAUUUAUGGAAAAAAGAAGUCAGAGUGGCUGCUUUUUUCCUUUAUGGGACUCUCCGGUUCAGGGCCAUACCUGUGUCCGGAAAGCAGGGCUGGGGAGACUUGGGCCAACACAGAGCCGGGAGGAAAGGAGGGAGAAUGAGGUAGGUGUGUCAGGAAGAAGUCAUUUUCUUAGCUUAAAAAAAAAAAGAAAAAAAAGAUGGAGGUACAGUCUUCAGAGUUCCGCCUCAGUGACCAUGAAACCGAGUCGGCAAAAGCUGAAGGACCCGGCUCCUGAAAGCCUCAUCAGGGCUUGUCAUCGCUCUAAUGAAUAUCAUUUAAAUUGCUUUGUAUAUUGGUGGAGUUUGGAUGUCGAUUUAAUUUGUGCAUGUGUUUGAGUUCUUCUGCUUGGCUAGGCUAACAGAGAAGCAGCCGCUUAAUGAAAACUGAGUUGGUGACAGUGUGAUACGCUCCAACCCAGUCAAAUGGGUUUGCAGGGCUGCCGUGACAGGCCUCGGAAAGAUGCAGCUCCAGCUGAGGGAAGAGAGAGGCGGCUUUCCUGACGCAUGGGGACCUGCCGGGCGGCGUGGCCGGCUCGGUGUCUGUGCUGAAGCUCGCCCGGGCCGGCUUCUCAUGGCUCAGCCCAUCCUUGGCUCCGAGGACACCAGCUCCAGACACAAGAGACCAUGCCUGUCGAACUAGGGGUCCUGGGGGAUCUCCCUUCCCUGUAGUUAUUUGGCACGAGCGAGCCCCGUGGCCCAAGGCCCCCAACUGAGAUGGUAAGAGGGCAUCGUUUUGUUGGGACAGUCACAAAAGCAAAGGCCUCUCCCAUCCCGAGGCGGCAUCCUCUCCGUGUGUGGCAGAAGCUUGGCUCUCUCUGGGUACUCACACGCCCGUUUUCUUCUUGUGUCUUCCCAGCCAUCCUGGGAAGGGGCAGGCUGGGGUUCCUGGGGGGGCCCAUCUGUAGACGUGGCCCGCCCCCGCCCACAGCUGCCAUCAGGAAGCCUCCUCAAGUAUUGUCAACAUUCACAUUAUCAACGGGGUCACAGAGAACCUGGAAAAAAUCACAGAGCAGUCUGCUCUGGGUACUUCCUCUGCUCCCCAGAUCCCCUGCACCCCCACCCUGCACGACUCUAUUUCAAGGGAUGGGAAUGGGCAGUGAGAAUCUCUCAAGGCUGGAGAGAAGAUGUCCUUAAUCGGACAGAAGGCCAGAGACGUGAGGCGUCCACCGGAAAGUCCGCCCCUCCCUUUCUACCUUUAAGACACAAGGGGGCAGGGUGGAGUGGGGCAGGGGAAGGAGGUGGUGCCCUGGGCAUGCACCUGCUGAAGGCUCUGGGAGCAGAUGCAAGGUGGGGGCCAGACGCCCAGAGAAUCACAACUGCAGGGUCGGGGUAGGGGGGACUUUGUCACAACGUCCACUUGGCGGCAGGGGUUAACUUUCUUUUUUUUUUUAAUUUAUUUAUUUUUCUUGGUGGGGGAGAGGUAAUUAGGUUUAUCUCUUUAUUUAGUUUUAGAGGAGGUACUGGGGAUUGAACCCAGGACCUUGUGCACGCUAAGCAUGCGCUCUACCACUUGAGUUAUACCCUCCGCCAAAGUUAACUUUCCUAAACACUGGAACACAUGGUUUUGUCUGGAGAGAAGUUCUCAGGAGCCUCCCCUGUGUGCCGAAGGCGUGGGGCGUGGGGCGGGGGCACUGGCGAGGUCUCCUGGGACUCUGCACAAGCCCCAUCUCAGUGGGCUGGACCCAGAGACAGGAGCACAGCCACCCCUGCCCCGUGCCCCCGCCCAGAAGGAAGAAUGAACUCCUACGACCCGUCCCGAGACGUCCUGGCCUUUAAUGAGUUUGGAGUCAAGCUGGAGGAAGGAGACAAAACAAUAGUGACAAAUAAAUGACAACGUCCGAUUAAGAAUGAGAUUGGGCAGAAAACGUAGUGUGAGAUUACGAGGCUCUGUCCCGAAACUUGAAGUGCCCUGGCUGGGAGCCCAUCUCUGGGCGAGACGGGCUGGCUGGACCUUGAGGGAGGAUAAGAGAGUUUGCGGGAAGGGGAGGGCCUCUCCCUCGUAGGAAACCACUGGAAGCCUGGUCGCUCGGCCGCCUUCUGGUGGCACCUUGAGAUGGCGAGAUGGAUGGCAUAGCUGGUCACAGCCUGAGAAGCACCCGUGAAGCAUCCGAAACGAAAUGUGGCCGUGCCCCUCGCGGUGAUAGGUGUGUUUGAUUCUGUUCCACCUCGGGGGUCUUUCUAGGAUUUCCUACCAUAGGUUCUCGACCAUUUAGGAGUUCUGGUCUCUUUUGAGACAUACAGACUUCUCAGGAAGAUGUGCGUGUGACUGUGUGGUACACCAGACAUUAGCGAAACAUUGUAAACCGACUAGAUUUCAAUAAAAAAGAAACUAU